rnacentral:rRNA from 1 species
GGUUAAGCGACUAAGCGUACACGGUGGAUGCCCUGGCAGUCAGAGGCGAUGAAGGACGUGCUAAUCUGCGAAAAGCGCCGGCGAGGUGAUAUGAACCUUUGACCCGGCGAUGUCCGAAUGGGGAAACCCAGUGUGAUUCGUCACACUAUCGUUAACUGAAUACAUAGGUUAACGAGGCGAACCGGGGGAACUGAAACAUCUAAGUACCCCGAGGAAAAGAAAUCAACCGAGAUUCCCCCAGUAGCGGCGAGCGAACGGGGAGCAGCCCAGAGUCUGAAUCAGCUUGUGUGUUAGUGGAACGGUCUGGAAAGUCCGGCGAUACAGGGUGACAGCCCCGUACACGAAAGCACACUUGCUGUGAACUCGAAGAGUAGGGCGGGACACGUGGUAUCCUGUCUGAAUAUGGGGGGACCAUCCUCCAAGGCUAAAUACUCCUGACUGACCGAUAGUGAACCAGUACCGUGAGGGAAAGGCGAAAAGAACCCCGGCGAGGGGAGUGAAAAAGAACCUGAAACCGUGUACGUACAAGCAGUGGGAGCACCUUCGUGGUGUGACUGCGUACCUUUUGUAUAAUGGGUCAGCGACUUAUAUUCUGUAGCAAGGUUAACCGUAUAGGGGAGCCGAAGGGAAACCGAGUCUUAACUGGGCGUUAAGUUGCAGGGUAUAGACCCGAAACCCGGUGAUCUAGCCAUGGGCAGGUUGAAGGUUGGGUAACACUAACUGGAGGACCGAACCGACUAAUGUUGAAAAAUUAGCGGAUGACUUGUGGCUGGGGGUGAAAGGCCAAUCAAACCGGGAGAUAGCUGGUUCUCCCCGAAAGCUAUUUAGGUAGCGCCUCGUGAACUCAUCUUCGGGGGUAGAGCACUGUUUCGGCUAGGGGGCCAUCCCGGCUUACCAACCCGAUGCAAACUACGAAUACCGAAGAAUGUUAUCACGGGAGACACACGGCGGGUGCUAACGUCCGUCGUGAAGAGGGAAACAACCCAGACCGCCAGCUAAGGUCCCAAAGUCAUGGUUAAGUGGGAAACGAUGUGGGAAGGCACAGACAGCCAGGAUGUUGGCUUAGAAGCAGCCAUCAUUUAAAGAAAGCGUAAUAGCUCACUGGUCGAGUCGGCCUGCGCGGAAGAUGUAACGGGGCUAAACCAUGCACCGAAGCUGCGGCAGCGACACUAUGUGUUGUUGGGUAGGGGAGCGUUCUGUAAGCCGUUGAAGGUGUCCUGUGAGGGGUGCUGGAGGUAUCAGAAGUGCGAAUGCUGACAUAAGUAACGAUAAUGCGGGUGAAAAGCCCGCACGCCGGAAGACCAAGGGUUCCUGUCCAACGUUAAUCGGGGCAGGGUGAGUCGACCCCUAAGGCGAGGCCGAAAGGCGUAGUCGAUGGGAAACAGGUUAAUAUUCCUGUACUUGGUGUUACUGCGAAGGGGGGACGGAGAAGGCUAUGUUAGCCGGGCGACGGUUGUCCCGGUUUAAGCAUGUAGGCGGGAGUUUUAGGUAAAUCCGGAACUCUUUUAACGCUGAGGUGUGAUGACGAGGCACUACGGUGCUGAAGUAACAAAUGCCCUGCUUCCAGGAAAAGCCUCUAAGCAUCAGGUAACAUCAAAUCGUACCCCAAACCGACACAGGUGGUCAGGUAGAGAAUACCAAGGCGCUUGAGAGAACUCGGGUGAAGGAACUAGGCAAAAUGGUGCCGUAACUUCGGGAGAAGGCACGCUGAUGUGUAGGUGAAGCCCCUGCGGGUGGAGCUGAAAUCAGUCGAAGAUACCAGCUGGCUGCAACUGUUUAUUAAAAACACAGCACUGUGCAAACACGAAAGUGGACGUAUACGGUGUGACGCCUGCCCGGUGCCGGAAGGUUAAUUGAUGGGGUUAGCGGCAACGCGAAGCUCUUGAUCGAAGCCCCGGUAAACGGCGGCCGUAACUAUAACGGUCCUAAGGUAGCGAAAUUCCUUGUCGGGUAAGUUCCGACCUGCACGAAUGGCGUAAUGAUGGCCAGGCUGUCUCCACCCGAGACUCAGUGAAAUUGAACUCGCUGUGAAGAUGCAGUGUACCCGCGGCAAGACGGAAAGACCCCGUGAACCUUUACUAUAGCUUGACACUGAACACUGGUCCUUGAUGUGUAGGAUAGGUGGGAGGCUUUGAAGCGUGGACGCCAGUCUGCGUGGAGCCGCCCUUGAAAUACCACCCUUUAAUGGCUGGUGUUCUAACGUAGACCCGUAAUCCGGGUUGCGGACAGUGUCUGGUGGGUAGUUUGACUGGGGCGGUCUCCUCCCAAAGAGUAACGGAGGAGCACGAAGGUUAGCUAAUCCUGGUCGGACAUCAGGAGGUUAGUGCAAUGGCAUAAGCUAGCUUGACUGCGAGAGUGACGGCUCGAGCAGGUGCGAAAGCAGGUCAUAGUGAUCCGGUGGUUCUGAAUGGAAGGGCCAUCGCUCAACGGAUAAAAGGUACUCCGGGGAUAACAGGCUGAUACCGCCCAAGAGUUCAUAUCGACGGCGGUGUUUGGCACCUCGAUGUCGGCUCAUCACAUCCUGGGGCUGAAGUAGGUCCCAAGGGUAUGGCUGUUCGCCAUUUAAAGUGGUACGCGAGCUGGGUUUAGAACGUCGUGAGACAGUUCGGUCCCUAUCUGCCGUGGGCGCUGGAGAAUUGAGGGGGGCUGCUCCUAGUACGAGAGGACCGGAGUGGACGCAUCACUGGUGUUCGGGUUGUCAUGCCAAUGGCAUUGCCCGGUAGCUAAAUGCGGAAAAGAUAAGUGCUGAAAGCAUCUAAGCACGAAACUUGCCCCGAGAUGAGUUCUCCCUGACUCCUUGAGAGUCCUGAAGGAACGUUGAAGACUACGACGUUGAUAGGUCGGGUGUGUAAGCGCAGCGAUGCGUUGAGCUAACCGAUACUAAUGAACCGUGAGGCUUAACCUU